rnacentral:rRNA from 1 species
UACAGAGGGUGCGAGCGUUGUUCGGAAUUAUUGGGCGUAAAGGGCGCGUAGGCGGCGGGGUAAGUCGGGUGUGAAAUCUCAGAGCUCAACUCUGAAACUGCACUCGAUACUGCUCUGCUUGAGGACUGGAGAGGAGACUGGAAUUCACGGUGUAGCAGUGAAAUGCGUAGAUAUCGUGAGGAAGACCAGUGGCGAAGGCGGGUCUCUGGACAGUUCCUGACGCUGAGGCGCGAAGGCCAGGGGAGCAAACGGG